GGGAAUGAUUUCUUACUAAUAAAGAAACUGCCUUGGCCCAUUUUAUUGGAUAGAAAAUUAGGUAGGCGGAGUAUACAGAAGAGAAUUCUGGGAGAAAGAAGGUUAGAGGAAGAGUCGCCAUGAUUCUCCCGCUCCAGACAGACGCAGAUUAAGAUCCUCUCUGCACCCUGUGCCAGUGUUAACAUGUGCCCACCAAGUGUGGGCCUGGGAAGGCUGGUGACGGCUGCCACCACUCACCAUGUCUAAUAACCAAGAGGAACAGCACAGGAGCUGCCCCAUCCAGAUCCAACACAGAGAGAAGGCAGCCUGGAGGCAAUCCUCUGGGCCAAAGGGCCAUCUGGAGCUGACUAGAAGAUGCUCUGUCUUAAAUGGCUUCUCAGGCUUGAUAAGCAGAGAGAACUCUAAGGAUAAAAAAGAGGUCCAUUUAUUGAAACUUGAGGAAUCAAGAGUGGAGUAAGCAGGUGUCAAGAAGGAACACCACAACAGAGGAGCAGGCUGCUUUGAGGGGGAGAACUUCCUAUUACUUGGGACAUGUAAACAGCGUGCCCUUCCACUCCUCAAGAAAGCCAGGGACGAAAAUGCCCACGGUUAGAGACUGCCUGAGUGACUUCUCUUCAAGCUCAAAAGUAGAGGCUUCCAAAGACCCUGGGGAAAAACUUCUGCCUCAAAAUAUCAUCCUUUGGCUUAUGAUUAGAACUCCAGUUACAUUUCAAGUGGCAAGUUUGGCUUCUGUGACACCAGGAGAGCUACUCUGGUGGGGUGAUUUGAGUAGAGGGAGUGGAUACAUUGCAUCAGUUCUGAUGUGACCUUUAACCUUUACCUUUCCUCUGCCUUCUGAAAAAAGCAAACACACAGAAUUUGACAAUCACAAUUCAAUAAAACAGCCAGAGGUAUCCAGUAGUUGAGAAGACUGGACCUUCAGUGGAGAGCAUGUCUGAGAGAUGUGGGGGGAUGCCAGUUAGUAGACCUCUAGAUAGAGGGUCUCUGCUGACUGUCAGGGCUGGUGGCACUGAGCAAGGCCAGGCUUCUGAUCAUCGUGAGCAGCACCACAGUGGUCAUUCGGAGACUAGCUAGUGAGCCCUUUGUGUCCAGUCCAUCAGCAGCCAGUGCUGGUUCCCAUUGGUCAGAUCCUUCCUUUGCGACGUCUUAACAUGCCCUGGGACUUGUAGUCCUCCGCUUCUUGCCACUUGGAAGUGCGCCCCACGAGGCAGUGUUGGGAAACUACAUUUCCCAGAAGGCCAGGAGGCGUUGGGGAC